rnacentral:misc_RNA from 1 species
UCAGCAGGUACAGCAGGAGCAACCUCAGUUAGAAUCAGCUGAGCUGCAUACAGAAUCGUCCCCUCAAUCAGAGCCAAAGACCCCGACAACAACUGAAGGUUCAGGGAAAACACAAUGGUUUCCUUUCUUCUCGUGCUGCUCUUCCGGUUCCUAGGAUUGCUUUCCUAAUAGUCCCUUUGUUUCUGACAAUGCCAUGGUUCAAGGAAUAAUACGAUUAGCCCAGAAGUGCUGAUGUGGUGCAUGCCCG